CACGUAGGGUGCGAGCGUUGUCCGGAAUUAUUGGGCGUAAAGGGCUCGUAGGCGGUUUGUCGCGUCGGGAGUGAAAUCACCGGGCUUAACUCGGUGCUUGCUUUCGAUACGGGCAGACUGGAGGCAUGCAGGGGAGAACGGAAUUCCUGGUGUAGCGGUGAAAUGCGCAGAUAUCAGGAGGAACACCGGUGGCGAAGGCGGUUCUCUGGGCAUGUCCUGACGCUGAGGAGCGAAAGUGUGGGGAGCGAACAGG
rnacentral:rRNA from 1 species